rnacentral:snRNA from 1 species
UCUUUUGCACAGUGGCAGUAUCAUAACCAAUGAAGUGAAUCUGAGGUGUGAUUAUUGCUACUUGAAAAUCCGCUCCUCUCCCCCUUCCUGGUGGUAGAUGGUACAGUACUACUGUAGACAGCAGAAACUG